ACGAACGCUGGCGGCGUGCCUAAUACAUGCAAGUAGAACGCUGAAGGCGGAGCUUGCUUCUCCGGAUGAGUUGCGAACGGGUGAGUAACGCGUAGGUAACCUGCCUGGUAGCGGGGGAUAACUAUUGGAAACGAUAGCUAAUACCGCAUAACAGUAGAUAUUGCAUGAUAUCUGCUUGAAAGGUGCAAUUGCAUCACUACCAGAUGGACCUGCGUUGUAUUAGCUAGUUGGUGGGGUAACGGCUCACCAAGGCGACGAUACAUAGCCGACCUGAGAGGGUGAUCGGCCACACUGGGACUGAGACACGGCCCAGACUCCUACGGGAGGCAGCAGUAGGGAAUCUUCGGCAAUGGACGGAAGUCUGACCGAGCAACGCCGCGUGAGUGAAGAAGGUUUUCGGAUCGUAAAGCUCUGUUGUAAGAGAAGAACGAGUGUGAGAGUGGAAAGUUCACACUGUGACGGUAUCUUACCAGAAAGGGACGGCUAACUACGUG
rnacentral:rRNA from 1 species